AAAGCGUGCGCAGGCGGUUUUGUAAGUCUGUUGUGAAAUCCCCGGGCUCAACCUGGGAAUGGCAAUGGAGACUGCAAGGCUAGAGUUUGGCAGAGGGGGGUAGAAUUCCACGUGUAGCAGUGAAAUGCGUAGAUAUGUGGAGGAACACCGAUGGCGAAGGCAGCCCCCUGGGUCAAAACUGACGCUCAUGCACGAAAGCGUGGGGAGCAAACAGGAUUAGAUACCCGUGU
rnacentral:rRNA from 1 species